UUGGCCUCAGCCCUUCCCAUGGAACUGAAGCCGUCUCCUGAUCUUUUUUGCGUUGGUAAGGAAGUGAUCUAAGCAUCCUUCCCGCCAAGCUGAAUUCUGUAUUGAAGCAUCAAGAGAAUGGGAUUUGUGACAGCAAGAGACACUUGGCCUCAGCCCUUCCCAUGGAACUGAAGCCGUCUCCUGAUCUUUUUUGCGUUGGUAAGGAAGUGAUCUAAGCAUCCUUCCCGCCAAGCUGAAUUCUGUAUUGAAGUGAAAUUAGCAACAGCAACAAAGGACAUAAAAUGUUGGAGAAGAUGGGAUGGAAGAAAGGGGAAGGCCUGGGCAAGGAUGGUGGUGGUAUGAAGGAUCCGAUCCACCUCCAGCUACAUAAGGCACAUGCAGGUUUGGGUACCAGUAGACCAACCUCGCUUGAAGAUGUUCAGAUCAUCCAGAGCAAGAACAGAAAGAACUGGGAUAAAGCAAGAGAAAGGUUUGCAGAAAACUUCCAAGAACCUAAAUCACAAAGGGAUGCACCCAAGAUUACACCUUGGGUUAAAGGCACUGUAGAGUGAAGCAUCUGGUCCCACAGUAGGGUAAUUCCUAUGUGUAAAUAACUUGGGAGAGAAUUUAUUUUUAUUCUUUUGCUGAAGCAGGAGUUUGGUGUUAUGUAAAAUACAGUUGUGGUAAAAAUACACAAGAUUAACUCUA